UUAAUUGAAACCAAAAAGAGGUAUAUUAUUGUUAAUAAUAUCAUUGAAUUAUUUUCCAAUUAAG
rnacentral:tRNA from 1 species